GGGGAUGGUAAACACUGCAAAGACGUGGAUGAAUGUGAACGAGAGGAUAACGCAGGUUGCGUGCAUGACUGCGUCAACAUCCCCGGCAAUUACCGAUGUACCUGCUAUGAUGGAUUCCACCUGGCACAUGACGGACACAACUGUCUGGAUGUGGAUGAGUGUGCCGAGGGCAACGGUGGCUGCCAACAGAGCUGUGUCAACA